rnacentral:rRNA from 1 species
AACGAACGCUGGCGGCAUGCCUAACACAUGCAAGUCGAACGAGACCUUCGGGUCUAGUGGCGCACGGGUGCGUAACGCGUGGGAACCUGCCCUUAGGUUCGGAAUAACUCCCCGAAAGGGGUGCUAAUACCGGAUAAUGUCUUCGGACCAAAGAUUUAUCGCGUUUGGAUGGGCCCGCGUUGGAUUAGCUAGUUGGUAGGGUAAAAGCCUACCAAGGCGACGAUCCAUAGCUGGUCUGAGAGGAUGAUCAGCCACACUGGGACUGAGACACGGCCCAGACUCCUACGGGAGGCAGCAGAGGGGGAUAUUGGACAAUGGGGGAAAGCCUGAUGCAGCAAUGCCGCGUGAGUGAUGAAGGCCGUAGGGUUGUAAAGCUCUUUUACCCGGGAUGAUAAUGACGGUACCGGGAGAAUAAGCACCGGCUAACUCCGUG